rnacentral:rRNA from 1 species
AAACUUUACAAUGCGGGAAACCGUGAUAAGGGAACUCCGAGUGCCCGUAAAAUCGGGCUGUCCAUCAGUUUAAAUAACUGGUGAAGAAAGGGCCGGGCAAGACCGGUGCCAGCCGCCGCGGUAAUACCGGCGGCUCGAGUGGUGGCCACUAUUACUGGGCUUAAAGCGUUCGUAGCUGGUUUGUUAAGUCUCUGGGGAAAUCUUCCGGCUUAACCGGAAGGCGUCUCAGGGAUACUGGCAGACUAGGGACCGGGAGAGGUGAGGGGUACUCCAGGGGUAGGAGUGAAAUCCUGUAAUCCUUGGGGGACCACCUGUGGCGAAGGCGCCUCACCAGAACGGCUCCGACAGUGAGGGACGAAAGCUGGGGGAGCAAACCGGAUUAGAUACCCGGGUAGUCCCAGCCGUAAGCGAUGUGCAUUAGGUGUAUCGGUGACCACGAGUCACCGAGGUGCCGAAGAGAAAUCGUGAAAUGCACCGCCUGGGAAGUACGGUCGCAAGGCUGAAACUUAA